rnacentral:rRNA from 1 species
UACGUAGGGUGCGAGCGUUAAUCGGAAUUACUGGGCGUAAAGCGUGCGCAGGCGGUUGUGUAAGACAGAUGUGAAAUCCCCGGGCUCAACCUGGGAACUGCAUUUGUGACUGCACGGCUUGAGUGCGGCAGAGGGGGAUGGAAUUCCGCGUGUAGCAGUGAAAUGCGUAGAUAUGCGGAGGAACACCGAUGGCGAAGGCGGCUCACUGGCCCGGUACUGACGCUGAGGUGCGAAAGCGUGGGGAGCAAACAGG